ACUCCUACGGGAGGCAGCAGUGAGGAAUAUUGGUCAAUGGGCGAGAGCCUGAACCAGGCAAGUAGCGUGCAGGAUGACGGCCCUAUGGGUUGUAAACUGCUUUUAUACAGGAAUAAAGUUAGCCACGUGUGGUUAUUUGUAGGUACUGUAUGAAUAAGGACCGGCUAAUUCCGUGCCAGCAGCCGCGGUAAU
rnacentral:rRNA from 1 species